AGUUUUCAACUCCCAAACCCUUUUGUGAACAUACCUAUCGUUGCUUCGGCGGACUCGCCCCAGCGUCCGGCCGGCCCCGCGCCGGCCGCGGCCUGGAUCCAGGCGGCCGCCGGAGACCCCCAAACUCUGUAUUCUCAGUAUCUUCUGAAUCCGCCGCAAGGCAAAACAAAUGAAUCAAAACUUUCAACAACGGAUCUCUUGGUUCUGGCAUCGAUGAAGAACGCAGCGAAAUGCGAUAAGUAAUGUGAAUUGCAGAAUUCAGUGAAUCAUCGAAUCUUUGAACGCACAUUGCGCCCGCCAGCAUUCUGGCGGGCAUGCCUGUUCGAGCGUCAUUUCAACCCUCGACUUCCCUUUGGGGAAAUCGGCGUUGGGGACCGGCCGUAUACCGCCGGCCCCGAAAUGAAGUGGCGGCCCGUCCGCGGCGACCUCUGCGUAGUAAUCCAACUCGCACCGGAACCCCGACGUGGCCACGCCGUAAAACCCCCGACUUCUGAACGUUGACCUCGGAUCAGGUAGGAAUACCCGCUGAACUUAAGCAUAUCA
rnacentral:rRNA from 1 species